rnacentral:rRNA from 1 species
UACGUAGGGGGCAAGCGUUGUCCGGAUUUAUUGGGCGUAAAGCGCUCGCAGGUGGUCCGUCGCGUCGUGCGUGAAAGCCCCCGGCUCAACUGGGGAGUGUCGUGCGAUACGGGCGGACUGGAGGCCAGUAGGGGGAUGCGGAAUUCCGGGUGUAGUGGUGGAAUGCGUAGAGAUCCGGAGGAACACCAGCGGCGAAGGCGGCAUCCUGGACUGGUCCUGACACUCAUGAGCGAAAGCGUGGGGAGCGAGCCGG